rnacentral:lncRNA from 1 species
UAUUUUUAUUUGCAUAAUGUUCCUACUGAGGUGAAAAAUAAUGUUCACAGUGGUCUAUGCAUUAUGUGUACAGGGUUUGUGUGUGUGUUUAUAUGGGUAUCAGUUUGUUCGAAUCUUACCUAUAACAUUAAGAAAAAAUCAAGUAGACCUAAAUGAGUCAUCAUGGAGUAGCUCUCGUUACAUAUUAGUUCAUUACCUAAAAUUACCGCUAGGGGACACUGUUGCUCUGGUGGAGAAGGCAAAGCACCCGAGCAUGGAGCACGUUUUUCUUGGGCUUUGUUUCCUCACUAUGACGAGAAUUCGUUCCACCAAGGCCACGGACAGCUUGAAGACAAAACCGACAUUUCUUUACCUGUCACGACAGAAAGGUGUUAGUCAUGCUGCCAGGUGUCAGUGUGGUGGAUGGUGUGGAGCCAUGUUGGGUGCUGGGUGAUGGAGUGUGUGAGGUCCGGUCUUUCACAGUCAUCAAUAACACAGACAGGACCGCUGGCACCAGGGAGCAGAGGACCCAUACAUAACCCCUUAGCACAGAGGGCCUUGGCUCUACGGAGCGCCCCCCUCUCCCCUGUUUCGCCUUCACACACACACACACACACACACACACACACACACACACACACACACACACACACACACACACACACACACACAAACAAACUGAUAAAUACACACACACACACACACACACAAACAAACAGAUAAAUACACACACACAUACACACACACACACACACACACACAAACAAACAGAUAAAUACACACACACAUACACAGGUAGACACACGCACUGAUACACAUACCUUCAUCCUCGCCGUCGCCACGAGAUCAUGCUCUAGCCUCUAGGUCCCUCCGCACAUUAGCCACUCAAAUGCUAACGAUAAAAACACACACAGACGGACACACACACACACACACACACACACACACACACACACACACACACACACAGAGUGUGCACACCCGCUUUGCUCUCUCAGAGGAAAGAGCUGCUUGGCAAAAGCAGUAGGGCGCAUAAAUAAAGCAUUCGUUAG